AAUAUAAUAAUAAAUAAAAUUAAAAACCAAUUGUUCAGAGAACCAUUGAUGGUCUUUCCACCACUUACAACCUAUUUUGAUGUGAAAAUAUUAAAAAUUCAGUUGAAAUGUCAAUUCCUAUGACUUUAUGAUGUCUAAAUAUGAAUUUGGAGCAAAGGUCAAAAUCUAGAACUUCCAAUUAACCUAUGACCUUGACCUCAAUUUCAAGGUCAUAGACUAAGGAUCUCAAAUCUAAAGACACUAGUUCCUUAAUAUGUAUGGUUCAUGAGUAAUAUUACUUUACGCAUAAUUCUAAACAUAAGAGGGGCGAAAACUCCCAUUUAUUGUCUACGCACCCUUUCAACCAAAAUUUGUAAGUUACGACAUGUCGCAACUAACAAUUUAGUAAAAAUAAUUUGUUGAUAUCUUAUAAGGUUAAUGAAAAUGAGUGAAAAUAAGCCAUAAUCAAAAUUAAGAAUAUGACCUUGACCUUUGACCUUGAACUAAUUUUCAUUUUUUUGGACCAAGGAUCUCAAAUCAAAAGACCCUAGGUCUCUAUCACUUAUGGUUUA
rnacentral:lncRNA from 1 species